rnacentral:tRNA from 1 species
GCUUCGUUAGCUCAGUCGGUAGAGCGUCAGUCUCAUAUCAUCUGAAGGUCGAGAGUUCGAGCCUCCCACGGAGCA